CAGGAGUUGGUGAUAGACAGGGACGCCUGGCGUGCUGUGAUUCAUGCGGUUGCCAAGAGUUGGACACGACUGAGCGACCGAACUGAACUGAACUGAUAGGUGUACUAUAUCAUCUCCAGUAAAGGAUUAAUUUUGAAGAAAUUGCCCAACUUUUCCAAACUGGCUGUACCAUUUUGUAUUCCAGGAAGCAAUACAUGAGUGGUCCAGUUGCUCCACAUCUUUACCAGCACUUGACGUUGUCGAACAUGGUCUGGCAUAUGAUAGAUGCUCACGAAAGGCUGUGGAAUGAGGAAACCCAGUGGAUGGUGAGCUCCUGGAAGCAGAGAAUGCCUUGUUCACCACUGUAUCUUCAACUCUUCACCAAGUGUUUAUAGUUCUAGGCAUUCCAGGAAUCUGUGGCGAAUGACUGAAUGAAUGAAAUCAAGGGAAUCAUGAAAAGAGGAAAAAAGAAUCCAAAUUCAUUGAGAUUUACGAAAACAUGGACUGAAAGAGCACUCCAAUAAAUUCCAUAUCAAGUAGACCCUGAAGCCAACUCUAAAAGAAGAAAAAGAAAUAAAAAACAGUACAGUCAAUCCCAAGGAUGACGUCUGUAAAACAUCAGCUUGGAAUCCCCAACACAAUCCCACAAUGUCAGAAACGCACUGUGGUAACACCAUUACAUCAGCUCUCUGAGAAUAAGUAAUCAAGGAGAUCAAUGCUGGCUCUUUCUGCAAACAUAUCCUUUGUGUGAGCAGUGAUUCAAGAACAUGAAGAAAGAAAAGUACAUAUCUUGAAAAAUGCAGACACUUGCACCAUUCUUCUGAAAAUACUUCCCUAGAAUUCUCCAGAAGUUGUGAUGUUGCAAUAAAAAUAAAACCAGAAAAAGAAUAUGUAUGUAUAACUAAGUCACUUUGCUGUACAGUAGUAAAGCAAU